AGCAGCCGCGGUAAUUCCAGCUCCAAUAGCGUAUAUUAAAGUUGUUGCAGUUAAAAAGCUCGUAGUUGAAUUUCGGGGUUAGCAAGUUGGUCGUGCCUUUGGUAUGCACUGGCUUUGCUGAUUCCUCCUUCUUGAAGAACUGUGAUGCUAUUAAUUUGGUGUUGCAGGGAAACAGGACUGUUACUUUGAAAAAUUAGAGUGUUUAAAGCAGGCUAACGCUUGAAUACAUUAGCAUGGAAUAAUGAAAUAGGACGUUUGAUCCUAUUUUGUUGGUUUCUAGGAUUGACGUAAUGAUUAAUAGGGAUAGUUGGGGGCAUUAGUAUUCAAUUGUCAGAGGUGAAAUUCUUGGAUUUAUUGAAGACUAACUACUGCGAAAGCAUUUGCCAAGGAUGUUUUCAUUAAUCAAGAACGAAAGUUAGGGGAUCGAAGACGAUCAGAUACCGUCGUAGUCUUAACCAUAAACUAUGCCGACUAGGGAUCGGAUGAUGUUAAUUUUAUAAUGACUCAUUCGGCGCCUUAA
rnacentral:rRNA from 1 species